rnacentral:rRNA from 1 species
CAUGCAAGUCGAACGAUGAUCCGGUGCUUGCACCGGGGAUUAGUGGCGAACGGGUGAGUAACACGUGAGUAACCUGCCCUGGACUCUGGGAUAACCCCGAGAAAUCGGAGCUAAUACCGGAUAGGACCUCGAAUCGCAUGGUUUGGGGUGGAAAGUUUUUCGGUCUGGGAUGGACUCGCGGCCUAUCAGCUUGUUGGUGAGGUAAUGGCUCACCAAGGCGUCGACGGGUAGCCGGCCUGAGAGGGUGACCGGCCACACUGGGACUGAGACACGGCCCAGACUCCUACGGGAGGCAGCAGUGGGGAAUAUUGCACAAUGGGCGCAAGCCUGAUGCAGCAACGCCGCGUGGGGGAUGACGGCCUUCGGGUUGUAAACCUCUUUUAGUAGGGAAGAAGGGCUUCGGCUUGACGGUACCUGCAGAAAAAGGACCGGCUAACUACGUGCCAGCAGCCGCGGUAAUACGUAGGGUCCUAGCGUUGUCCGGAAUUAUUGGGCGUAAAGAGCUCGUAGGCGGUUUGUCGCGUCUGCUGUGAAAUCCCGAGGCUCAACCUCGGGCCUGCAGUGGGUACGGGCAGACUUGAGUGCGGUAGGGGAGAAUGGAAUUCCUGGUGUAGCGGUGGAAUGCGCAGAUAUCAGAGGAACACCGAUGGCGAAAGCAGUUCUCUGGGCCGUAACUGACGCUGAGGAGCGAAAGCGUGGGGAGCGAACAGGAUUAGAUACCCUGGUAGUCCACGCCGUAAACGUUGGGCGCUAGAUGUGGGGACCUUUCCACGGUUUCCGUGUCGUAGCUAACGCAUUAAGCGCCCGCCUG